GAAGGGACCUAGCGUAGUUCGGAAUUACUGGGCUUAAAGAGCUCGUAGGUGGUUAAAAAAGUUGGUGGUGAAAUCCCAAGGCUUAACCUUGGAACUGCCAUCAAAACUUUUUAGCUAGAGUGUGAUAGAGGAAAGUGGAAUUUCUAGUGUAGAGGUGAAAUUCGUAGAUAUUAGAAAGAACACCAAAUGCGAAGGCAACUUUCUG
rnacentral:rRNA from 1 species